UACGUAGGGGGCUAGCGUUGUCCGGAUUUAUUGGGCGUAAAGAGCGUGUAGGCGGCCUGGUAGGUCUGGUGUGAAAACUCGAGGCUCAACCUCGAGACGCCGAUGGAAACCAUCUGACUAGAGUCCGGAAGAGGAGAGUGGAAUUCCUGGUGUAGCGGUGAAAUGCGCAGAUAUCAGGAAGAACACCCGUGGCUAAGGCGGCUCUCUGGGACGGUACUGACGCUGAGACGCGAAAGCGUGGGGAGCGAACAGG
rnacentral:rRNA from 1 species